CAGCCGCCGCGGUAAUACGUAGGUGGCAAGCGUUGUCCGGAAUUAUUGGGCGUAAAGGGCUCGCAGGCGGUUUCCUAAGUCUGAUGUGAAAGCCCCCGGCUCAACUGGGGAGGGUCAUUGGAAACUGGGAAACUUGAGUGCAGAAGAGGAGAGUGGGAUUCCACGUGAAGCGGUGAAAUGCGUAGAGAUGUGGAGGAACACCAGUGGCGAAGGCGACUCUCUGGUCUGUAACUGACGCUGAGGAGCGAAAGCGUGGGGAGCGAACAGGAUUAGAUACCCCCGUAGUCCCUGUCUCUUAUAC
rnacentral:rRNA from 1 species